GAUGAACGCUAGCUACAGGCUUAACACAUGCAAGUCGAGGGGCAGCGGGAUUGAAGCUUGCUUCAAUUGCCGGCGACCGGCGCACGGGUGAGUAACGCGUAUCCAACCUUCCGUACACUCAGGGAUAGCCUUUCGAAAGAAAGAUUAAUACCUGAUGGUAUCUUAAGCACACAUGUAAUUAAGAUUAAAGAUUUAUCGGUGUACGAUGGGGAUGCGUUCCAUUAGGUAGUAGGCGGGGUAACGGCCCACCUAGCCAACGAUGGAUAGGGGUUCUGAGAGGAAGGUCCCCCACAUUGGAACUGAGACACGGUCCAAACUCCUACGGGAGGCAGCAGUGAGGAAUAUUGGUCAAUGGGCGAGAGCCUGAACCAGCCAAGUAGCGUGAAGGAUGAAGGUCCUACGGAUUGUAAACUUCUUUUAUACGGGAAUAAAGUAUCCUACGUGUAGGAUUUUGUAUGUACCGUAUGAAUAAGCAUCGGCUAACUCCGUG
rnacentral:rRNA from 1 species